CCUACGGGGUGCAGCAGUGGGGUAUAUUGGACAAUGGGCGAAAGCCUGAUCCAGCCAUGCCGCGUGUGUGAAGAAGGCCUUCGGGUUGUAAAGCACUUUCAGUGGGGAAGAAAGCCUUGGGGCUAAUACCCUCGAGGAAGGACAUCACCCACAGAAGAAGCACCGGCUAACUCCGUGCCAGCAGCCGCGGUAAUACGGAGGGUGCGAGCGUUAAUCGGAAUUACUGGGCGUAAAGCGCGCGUAGGCGGUCUGAUAAGCCGGUUGUAAAAGCCCCGGGCUCAACCUGGGAACGGCAUCCGGAACUGUCAGGCUAGAGUGCAGGAGAGGAAGGGAGAAUUCCCGGUGUAGCGGUGAAAUGCGUAGAGAUCGGGAGGAAUACCAGUGGCGAAGGCGGCCUUCUGGACUGACACUGACGCUGAGGUGCGAAAGCGUGGGUAGCAAACAGGAUUAGAUACCCCAGUAGUC
rnacentral:rRNA from 1 species